rnacentral:rRNA from 1 species
UGUUUACCAAAAACAUCGCCUCCUGCAUUUUAUAAGAGGUCCAGCCUGCCCAGUGACAAAGUUAAACGGCCGCGCUACCCUAACCGUGCAAAGGUAGCGCAAUCAUUUGUUCUUUAAAUGAGGACUAGUAUGAACGGCAUCACGAAGGUUAUACUGUCUCCCCACUCUAUUCAGUGAAACUGAUCUCCCCGUGAAGAAGCGGGAAUAAAAAUAUAAGACGAGAAGACCCCAUGGAGCUUUAAACUCAGUAACAACUGCUAUUUUUAAGCCUAGUAUUUACACAGCCAUGAUUACUAGUUUUUGGUUGGGGUGACCGCGGAGUAGAACUUAACCUCCAUGAUGAAAGGAAGUAUUAACCUAAACCAAGAGCGACAGCUCAAAGUAUUAAUAAAUUAACUAAUUGACCCAAUUACUUGAUCAACGAACUAAGUUACCCUGGGGAUAUCAGCGCAAUCCAUUUCAAGAGCUCAUAUCGACAAAUGGGAUUCAGACCUCGAUGUUGGAUCAGGGUAUCCCAGUGGCGCAGCAGCUACUAACGGUUC